CCGGAAUGGCUCGGAACGGGGUCUGUUCCGGGUGGUUUGAUCUGGCCUGGAAUGAAGUCAGGCCUCAAUAAAAAUUACUAUUUGGUUGACCUGAUCCGGAACCAAACCUGGGUCGGCUCGGUUUCACCCCUUCACUCCAAGGCCUGGAAUCAAUCCCCACCUCCAACCCUGCGGAACGAAUCCUCAGCCAACGACGGGAGACGACGGGCGGCGGCGCGAGCUAGCGGCGUGUGAGGCGACGAGGCGGCGGCGCGAGGUGGCGGCGUGGCGGCGCGGCACAGCCCGGAUGGCGACCCUCUCCGCCACCUUCUCACCGUCGAAGAAGAAUUAUCUGCUGCAUUGUGGCGUAAGCUUCUCAGGAUGAUCACCCUAAUGUGCUUCGGUGUAGAUGCAAGAGAUGUUUACCUUCUUGGGUUCUAAUUUAAUUUUUAGCUCAUCAAGACUCUGAUCAUGUUCACAUAUGUAAUUUAAUUCCCUGUAUCAAUUCCUAUCCAACCGAACAAUUCCUGUCCAAUCCCUGGAUCAAACCCAGCCGGAUUAAACCCU